UAGGGGAGCCGCAGGGAAACCGAGUCUUAAUUGGGCGUUAAGUUGCAGGGUAUAGACCCGAAACCCGGUGAUCUAGCCAUGGGCAGGUUGAAGGUUGGGUAACACUAACUGGAGGACCGAACCGACUAAUGUUGAAAAAUUAGCGGAUGACCUGUGGCUGGGGGUGAAAGGCCAAUCAAACCGGGAGAUAGCUGGUUCUCCCCGAAAGCUAUUUAGGUAGCGCCUCGUGAAUUCAUCUCCGGGGGUAGAGCACUGUUUCGGCUAGGGGGCCAUCCCGGCUUACCAACCCGAUGCAAACUGCGAAUACCGGAGAAUGUUAUCACGGGAGACACACGGCGGGUGCUAACGUCCGUCGUGAAGAGGGAAACAACCCAGACCGCCAGCUAAGGUCCCAAAGUCAUGGUUAAGUGGGAAACGAUGUGGGAAGGCCCAGACAGCCAGGAUGUUGGCUUAGAAGCAGCCAUCAUUUAAAGAAAGCGUAAUAGCUCACUGGUCGAGUCGGCCUGCGCGGAAGAUGUAACGGGGCUAAACCAUGCACCGAAGCUGCGGCAGCGA
rnacentral:rRNA from 1 species